UUUCAUAUGUCAAACUGAACCAGAUACACACUGAGAUUUACCCAGGCAAAGGGGAAUGUGAUGUCUGUGGUGGCAGAGCAGGGACUGUCGGCACCUGCAGGUGUUUCCUUAUCUUAGGAACACUCCUGUGUCAUGGAGUAUUGGAGAAGUGAAAAAUGGGGUGGUGCUGAGGGAGUGGAGGGACUGGUGAAGAAUGACUCUCUUGACUGUCUGGCUUGGGCACUGAGUGGAUUAAUAGGCUAUUUCAUUUCCAGGCAUUUGAAAUGGUGACCGGCGAGUGCCUUUUUGAACCCCAGGCCGGGAAAUAUUUCUCCAGAGAUGAUGAUCAUGUUGCUCGUAUCAUUGAACUCCUGGGAAGAAUUCCUCCUAAAAUUAUUUUCUCCUGGAAACAGUCGUCAAAAUUCUUCAGCAGACAAGGGAGGAGAGCUGAAGACUCCAUGAAGUCCUCUAGGACCUUGCUAUGCCAACCUAUUGACUUGAGAGUUACUCAGGAGAUGGAUGCCAGUACAAAAUUCUAAAGUUGGUAGGAGUUUCUUAGUCAGUGAGGACUAAGAAAUAUCCCCAAAGGACCUAGAUAGAGAGUAGAAACGUGGGAUGAAAAUAACUAAAUGAGAGUCAAGCUGGAAGAAGCCUGAAAUUCGGGUAUUAUGCUGACAGAGGACAAGCACAUUCUCUUCCCAACUCCGCCGCCUUUGCCUCCAGCCGUCUGUCUAAAAUGUGCAUCUCCUCUCUUUGAAUCUCUUUGCUGCCUCUCCCUUGGCUCAUCAAGUUUAAACAUUUUGUCCUUGACUCCAAGACCCUACCUAGCACUCUCCCUCCCCACUUUCCCACUUAGUCUCUUACUAUGUUCCUUUCUCCACUCAGCCAGUGAAACAGCCUCAAACAGGGAUUUCCCCACCUCACCCCCCGAAUUUCCCCAACACCCCCCCCCCAUUUUUGUGAACUAG